rnacentral:rRNA from 1 species
GACGAACGCUGGCGGCGUGCUUAACACAUGCAAGUCGAACGGUGAAGCUCCAGCUUGCUGGAGUGGAUCAGUGGCGAACGGGUGAGUAACACGUGAGCAACCUGCCCCUGACUCUGGAAUAAGCGCUGGAAACGGCGUCUAAUACUGGAUACGAGAAGGGUCCGCAUGGGCACUUUCUGGAAAGUUUUUCGGUUGGGGAUGGGCUCGCGGCCUAUCAGCUUGUUGGUGAGGUAAUGGCUCACCAAGGCGACGACGGGUAGCCGGCCUGAGAGGGCGACCGGCCACACUGGGACUGAGACACGGCCCAGACUCCUACGGGAGGCAGCAGUGGGGAAUAUUGCACAAUGGGCGAAAGCCUGAUGCAGCGACGCCGCGUGAGGGAUGACGGCCUUCGGGUUGUAAACCUCCUUCAGCAGGGAAGAAGCGAAAGUGACGGUACCUGCAGAAGAAGCACCGGCUAACUACGU